rnacentral:rRNA from 1 species
UACCCUACGGGACGCAGCAGUGGGGAAUAUUGCACAAUGGGGGAAACCCUGAUGAAGCGACGCCGCGUGAGUGAAGAAGUAUUUCGGUAUGUAAAGCUCUCUCAGCAGGGAAGAUAAUGACGGUACCUGACUAAGAAGCCCCGGCUAACUACGUGCCAGCAGCCGCGGUAAUACGUAGGGGGCAAGCGUUAUCCGGAUUUACUGGGUGUAAAGGGUGCGUAGGUGGCAGGGCAAGUCAGAUGUGAAAGCCCGGGGCUCAACCCCGGUACUGCAUUUGACGCUGUCCAGCUGGAGGGCAGGAGAGG